UACGUAGGGCGCAAGCGUUAUCCGGAAUUAUUGGGCGUAAAGAGCUCGUAGGCGGUUUGUCGCGUCUGCCGUGAAAGUCCGGGGCUCAACUCCGGGAUCUGCGGUGGGUACGGGCAGACUAGAGUGAUGUAGGGGAGACUGGAAUUCCUGGUGUAGCGGUGAAAUGCGCAGAUAUCAGGAGGAACACCGAUGGCGAAGGCAGGUCUCCUGGGCAUUAACUGACGCUGAGGAGCGAAAGCAUGGGGAGCGAACAGG
rnacentral:rRNA from 1 species